AUAAGAGUGAAGCGAAGUGAGAUUACUCAAGCCCAGUAUUGUGAACUUUGCGUAAUUGUGAAAGUGUACUCGUGUUUUAAGAUUUGAAGAGUAUACGUACCCAUUCAUGAAGGACAUAUUUAAUGAGAUGCCAGAGAUAUCUACUGAACCGCUAUCUACGCGGUGCUUCAAUUCAAGAGGACAAAGAACAAGUACCACACAGGCAACUUUCCAACCAUAUUCUGCAGGAACCACCUCUAGGGACAACUGCGGUUCAGUCUCUAUGGCCCAUUCCAUCACUGGACUCUAAUGAUAAUACCAGUUAGGGAUAACUGAAUAAUUAGUUUUAUGAUAUUGACUCCUGCCUGCAAAAAUACAAAACAAAACAAAACUAGAACACACUUGCCCCUGCAAAGCCUUUUCACUUAAGGAGCUAAAGAGGCAUCAGUUGGUAAUUACUUCUAGCCAGUACAGAGCUGAUAUUGAUUCAAACUGCCAAAUGAGAGGUGAAACAGUCAGUUUAGAAGUGAAAGUCUGUCCCUUAUUCCCAAUCCCCUGAGCCAUCUGGUUUCCCAUGUAUUUUUGUAUUGGGUAGGGGUGUAUAAAUGGGUGUUGGAUUAAUAAAGAACUGUGGCUCAGGCCCAAGAAGAGAUAAAAUGUUAAUAAAAAUCUUAUUUACUUCUACAAACAUUACAAAUUUGGGGUUCAACUUUGUGUGACAUGUUAGCAAUAGCUUACCCCUAUUGUAAGAACCACCAUUAAUAACUUCUUCUUAAACAUGCAGAAAGAAGAGGGUGGGGAGAGGGUUAAUGCACAUGAAACUUAAAAAGUUAAAUAAAAACUCCAUUUUAACAA